UCCACUUCAAUAGAUACUUGUGAGGCCCUGCCCUGCCGGGUGCUGUGUUAAGGCCCUUGUGUCCAUUGGAGCAUUUAUUCUGCCCACAUGUCUCAGCUGCUGAUGAGCUGGCUGAGCAGGAAGGUCUCCUUGUGAUGGGCCUUGGCUGGUGGCUCCCAGACUGGGUCUCAGCAGCCGACAGGACGUGGCUGCUGUUCUGUGACACUGCCCACUGCCUGGCCCCCGAACCCAGCGUGGGGGAGUGGUGAGAUCCCAGUCCUAGAGCGGAUGGUACGUCUGUGAACGACUUCCAGUGGCCUUUGUGGGAGCGGUCAGUGAGACUUCCUAAAUGAGAUGCUUCCAAGCUGAAUCCGGCAGCAACAGGAGGAGGAAUGAAGAAGAAAUAACCAAACAGACUGGAGACCGAAGCCAGGUACAAUCAGUGGGUGCUGUGCAGAAGAUUCCAUGAACUGCUAGGUGCUCAGCCGCCACCACUGUGGACAAGACCAGCCUGCCCGGCCAUCCUGGGGACUUCUGUCUUCAGCAAAAGAUAAGGGAAUCUUUUUAGACAGUUUGACCCUAAGAGCCCAGGGUUUUUGUUUGGGAUGCUGUCUUUGUUUUUGAAUUUUAAUAUUGUCUCACCCACCACCAAUAGACCCUCCAGCCUUGCUCCACCCUCCACCCUCUUCCCCUCAGGUGACUCUCUUCUGCUGUCCACGUCCACCAGCUUAUUUUUCAUCUGUCUUGUUUCCUUAGAUUGCACAUAAAAAUCAUCCAAUAUUUGUCUUUCUCUGAGUCACAUGGCUUUGCAUAAUCUCCACAUUCCUUUCAUUUUACUGCAAAUGACAAAAUAUUAUCUUUUGGAAAUAGCUGAAUGGUAUUCCAUAGUGUGUAUACACCACAUCUUCUUUAUCCUGUCAUCUAUCAAUGGGCAUUUAGGAUGUUUCCAUGCCUUAACUCUGUGAACAGUGUUGCAAUAGACAUUGUGGUCUGUAUAACUCUUAGAGGUAAUAAUUUCAUAUUUUUGGUAUUAGAUACCCAGAAGUGGAAUUUCUGGGUUUGUGAUAGUUCUAUUUUUAGUUUUUUGAGGAAGUUUCAUGCUGUUUUCCAAAAUGGUUGCACCCAUUUACAUUCCCACUGACCGUAUAGGAAGGUUCCUUUUUCUCUACACUCUUGCCAAAUUGUUGUUACCCGUCUUUUUGAUGUAAACUAUUUUCACAGGUGUGAGAUGAUAUCUCACUGUGGUUUAGAUUUGCAUUUCUCUAAUAAUAAGUGAUGAUGAACAUUCUUUCAUGUGCCACAUCUGUAUGUCCUCUUUGAAAAAGUGUCUAUUCAGAUCUUCUGCUAUUUUUUAGUUGGGUUGUAUGUUUCUUUGUUGUUGCAUUGCAUGAGUUCUCUAUGUAUUUUAGUUAGAUAUUAACCCCUUAUUGGAUGUAUGAUGUGUAAAUAUUUUUUCCCACUCACUAGGCUCUUUUUAUUCUGCUGAUAUUUUC